AACGCUAGCUACAGGCUUAACACAUGCAAGCCGAGGGGAAACGAUAUUGGAAGCUUGCUUCCGAUAGGCGUCGACCGGCGCACGGGUGAGUAACGCGUAUCCAACCUGCCCAUCACUUGGGGAUAACCUUGCGAAAGUAAGACUAAUACCCAAUGAUAUCUCUAGACGACAUCUGAAAGGGAUUAAAGAUUUAUCGGUGAUGGAUGGGGAUGCGUCCGAUUAGCUUGUUGGCGGGGUAACGGCCCACCAAGGCAACGAUCAGUAGGGGUUCUGAGAGGAAGGUCCCCCACAUUGGAACUGAGACACGGUCCAAACUCCUACGGGAGGCAGCAGUGAGGAAUAUUGGUCAAUGGGCGAGAGCCUGAACCAGCCAAGUAGCGUGCAGGACGACGGCCCUAUGGGUUGUAAACUGCUUUUAUAUGGGGAUAAAGUGAGCUACGUGUAGUUUAUUGCAGGUACCAUAUGAAUAAGGACCGGCUAAUUCCGUGCCAGCAGCCGCGGUAAUACGGAAGGUCCAGGCGUUAUCCGGAUUUAUUGGGUUUAAAGGGAGCGUAGGCCGCCCCUUAAGCGUGUUGUGAAAUGCCGCGGCUCAACCGUGGCACUGCAGCGCGAACUGGGGGGCUUGAGUGCACGCAACGCAGGCGGAAUUCGUGGUGUAGCGGUGAAGUGCUUAGAUAUCACGAAGAACUCCGAUUG
rnacentral:rRNA from 1 species